GGGGAGGAUACAGUUCGUU
rnacentral:siRNA from 1 species